ACGCACGCUGGCGGCGUGCUUCACACAUGCCAGUCGCACGGAAAGGCCCUGCUUUUGUGGGGUGCUCGAGUGGCGAACGGGUGAGUAACACGUGAGUAACCUGCCCUUGACUUUGGGAUAACUUCAGGAAACUGGGGCUAAUACCGGAUAGGAGCUCCUGCUGCAUGGUGGGGGUUGGAAAGUUUCGGCGGUUGGGGAUGGACUCGCGGCUUAUCAGCUUGUUGGUGGGGUAGUGGCUUACCAAGGCUUUGACGGGUAGCCGGCCUGAGAGGGUGACCGGCCACAUUGGGACUGAGAGACGGCCCAGACUCCUACGGGAGGCAGCAGUGGGGAAUAUUGCACAAUGGGCGGAAGCCUGAUGCAGAAACGCCGCGUGCGGGAUGACGGCCUUCGGGUUGUAAACCGCUUUCGCCUGUGACGAAGCGUGAGUGACGGUAAUGGGUAAAGAAGCACCGGAUAACUACGUG
rnacentral:rRNA from 1 species